rnacentral:rRNA from 1 species
AGAAUCAACGCUGGCGGCGUGCCUAACACAUGCAAGUCGCACGAGAAAGGGGAGCAAUCCCUGAGUACAGUGGCGCACGGGUGAGUAACACGUGAAUUAUCUACCUCCGAGUGGGGAAUAACUGAGAGAAAUCUUAGCUAAUACCGCAUAACACUUACGAGUCAAAGCAGCAAUGCGCUUGGAGAGGAGUUCGCGGCCGAUUAGUUAGUUGGCGGGGUAAUGGCCCACCAAGACGAUGAUCGGUAUCCGGCCUGAGAGGGCGCACGGACACACUGGAACUGAAACACGGUCCAGACUCCUACGGGAGGCAGCAGUGGGGAAUUUUGCGCAAUGGGGGAAACCCUGACGCAGCAACGCCGCGUGGAGGAUGAAGCCCCUUGGGGUGUAAACUCCUUUCGAUCGGGAAGAUAAUGACGGUACCGAUAUAAGAAGCCCGGCUAACUUCGUGCCAGCAGCCGC